GGCGCACGGGUGAGUAACGCGUAAGUAAUCUGCCCUGGUAUCUGGGAUAACCCACCGAAAGGUGUGCUAAUACGGGAUACGCUGAUUUAUCAGGAAAGGUGGCCUCUUCAUGAAAGCUACUGUACCAGGAGGAGCUUGCGUACCAUUAGCUAGUUGGUAGGGUAAUGGCCUACCAAGGCGACGAUGGUUAGCGGGUCUGAGAGGAUGAUCCGCCACACUGGAACUGAAACACGGACCAGACUCCUACGGGAGGCAGCAGUGAGGAAUAUUGCGCAAUGGGGGAAACCCUGACGCAGCGACGCCGCGUGGAUGAUGAAGGCCUUCGGGUCGUAAAAUCCUGUCAGAUGGAAAGAAAUGUAGUAUGCCUAAUACGUGUACUAUUUGACGGUACCAUCAAAGGAAGCACCGGCUAACUCCGUGCCAGCAGCCGCGGUAAUACGGAGGGUGCAAGCGUUGUUCGGAAUUACUGGGCGUAAAGCGCGCGUAGGCGGUUUGCUAAGUCAGAUGUGAAAGUCCACGGCUCAACCGUGGAAGUGCAUUUGAAACUGGCUGACUUGAGUACUGGAGGGGGUGGUGGAAUUCCCGGUGUAGAGGUGAAAUUCGUAGAUAUCGGGAGGAAUACCGGUGGCGAAGGCGACCACCUGGCCAGAUACUGACGCUGAGG
rnacentral:rRNA from 1 species